rnacentral:rRNA from 1 species
AUUGAACGCUGGCGGCAGGCCUAACACAUGCCAGUCGAGCGGAGCGGCGGAAGGGUGAGUAAUGCCUAGGAAUCUGCCUGGUAGUGGGGGAUAACGUCCGGAAACGGGCGCAAAUACCGCAUAAGAUCAGAUGAGCCUAGGUCGGAUUAGCUAGUUGGUGGGGUAAAGGCCUACCAAGGCGACGAUCCGGAACUGGUCUGAGAGGAUGAUCAGUCACACUGGAACUGAGACACGGUCCAGACUCCUACGGGAGGCAGCAGUGGGGAAUAUUGGGCAAUGGGCGAAAGCCUGAUCCAGCCAUGCCGCGUGAGUGAAGAAGGUCUUCGGAUUGUAAAGCACUUUAAGUUGGGAGGCGUUACCAACAGAGUAAGCACCGGCUAACUUCGUGCCAGCCGCCGCGGUAAUAC